rnacentral:rRNA from 1 species
CCGGAGGUGUAAGAGGAGCAAUCCUUUGAGCUGACCGGUACUAAUAGCCCGAGGGCUUGUUCACCUAUAAC